rnacentral:rRNA from 1 species
UACGUAGGGUGCGAGCGUUAAUCGGAAUUACUGGGCGUAAAGCGUGCGCAGGCGGUUUUGUAAGCCAGAUGUGAAAUCCCCGGGCUUAACCUGGGAAUGGCAUUUGGGACUGCAAGGCUUGAGUUUGGCAGAGGAGACUGGAAUUCCUGGUGUAGCGGUGGAAUGCGCAGAUAUCAGGAGGAACACCGAUGGCGAAGGCAGCUCGCUGGGACGGUACUGACGGCUGAGGCGCGAAAGCGUGGGGAGCGAACAGG